AGCAGUGGGGAAUUUUGGACAAUGGGCGCAAGCCUGAUCCAGCCAUGCCGCGUGCAGGAUGAAGGCCUUCGGGUUGUAAACUGCUUUUGUACGGAACGAAAAGGUCUUCUUUAAUAAAGAGGGCCCAUGACGGUACCGUAAGAAUAAGCACCGGCUAACUACGUGCCAGCAGCCGCGGUAAUACGUAGGGUGCAAGCGUUAAUCGGAAUUACUGGGCGUAAAGCGUGCGCAGGCGGUAAUGUAAGACAGAUGUGAAAUCCCCGGGCUCAACCUGGGAACUGCAUUUGUGACUGCAUUGCUGGAGUGCGGCAGAGGGGGAUGGAAUUCCGCGUGUAGCAGUGAAAUGCGUAGAUAUGCGGAGGAACACCGAUGGCGAAAGCAAUCCCCUGGGCCUGCACUGACGCUCAUG
rnacentral:rRNA from 1 species